CGGAGGAUCCAAGCGUUAUCCGGAUUUAUUGGGUUUAAAGGGUGCGUAGGCGGCCUAUUAAGUCAGGGGUGAAAGACGGUAGCUUAACUAUCGCAGUGCCUUUGAUACUGAUGGGCUUGAAUGAACUAGAGGUAGGCGGAAUGUGACAAGUAGCGGUGAAAUGCAUAGAUAUGUCACAGAACACCAAUUGCGAAGGCAGCUUACUAUGGUUUUAUUGACGCAGAGGCACGAAAGCGUGGGGAUCAAACAGGAUUAGAUACCCUGGUAGUCCACGCCCUAAACGAUGAACACUCGAUGUUAGCGAUAUACAGUUAGCGUCUAAGCGAAAGCGUUAAGUGUUCCACCUGGGGAGUACGCCCGCAAGGGUG
rnacentral:rRNA from 1 species